rnacentral:rRNA from 1 species
UACGGAGGGGGUUAGCGUUGUUCGGAAUUACUGGGCGUAAAGCGCGCGUAGGCGGACCAGAAAGUUGGGGGUGAAAUCCCGGGGCUCAACCCCGGAACGGCCUCCAAAACUCAUGGUCUUGAGUUCGAGAGAGGUGAGUGGAAUUCCGAGUGUAGAGGUGAAAUUCGUAGAUAUUCGGAGGAACACCAGUGGCGAAGGCGGCUCACUGGCUCGAUACUGACGCUGAGGUGCGAAAGUGUGGGGAGCAAACAGG